AAGUUAGCAAUGAUUAUAAAAAUAAUUUUUCGUUUUGACUUGCUCAAUUCAAUUUGGACUUUACAGAUCUCUUAUUACAUUCAUAGAAUCUGAGCUAC
rnacentral:snoRNA from 1 species